AACUUUCAACAAUGGAACUCUUGGCUCUCGCAUCGAUGAAGAACGCAGCGAAAUGCGAUACGUAAUGUGAAUUGCAGAAUUCAGUGAAUCAUCGAAUCUUUGAACGCACCUUGCGCCCCUUGGAAUUCCGAGGGGCACACCCGUUUGAGUGUCGUGAACAUCCUUCAACCUUUCUUGGUUUCUUGACCGGGGAAGGCUUGGACUUUGGGGGUCUUUCAUUGCUGGCCUCUUUGAAGCCAGCUCCUCCUAAAUGUAUUAGUGUGGUCUGCUUUGCCGAUCCUUGACGUGAUAAGAUGUUUCUACGUCUUGGGUUUCGCACUGUCGCUUUAGACCCCGCUUCUAACCGUCUUGCAUUCAAGACAGAGUUUUAAACCUUGACCUCAAAUCGGGUGAGACUACCCGCUGAACUUAAGCAUAUCAAUAAGCGGAGGCU
rnacentral:misc_RNA from 1 species